GGCCUGGCCGGGUGGUCUGCUUAACGGCAUGUACUGUCUGGGUGGGCCUUACCUCUUGGUGAGCCGGCGUGCCCUUCAUUGGCGUGCGUCGGGGAACCAGGACUUUUACCUUGAGAAAAUUAGAGUGUUUAAAGCAGGCGUUACAAGCUUGAAUACAUUAGCAUGGAAUAAUAAAGUAGG
rnacentral:rRNA from 1 species